UCAAAGGAAUAGACGGGGACCCGCACAAGCGGUGGAGCAUGUGGUUUAAUUCGACUAUACGCGAAGACCCUUACCUGGCCUUGACAUAGAAAGAAUUUAGCAGAGAUGUAAAAGUGCUAGUUUACUAGAGCUUUCAUACAGGUGCUGCACGGCUGUCGUCAGCUCGUGUCGUGAGAUGUUAGGUUAUGUCCUGCAACGAGCGCAACCCUCGUGUUUAGUUACUAACAGAUUAUGCUGAGGACUCUAGACAUGGGUGCCUGGGCAACCAGGAGGAAGGUGAGGACGACGUCAAGUCAUCAUGGCCCUUACGGCCAGGGCUACACACGUGCUACAAUGGGGUAUACAAAGAGCAGCGAUACCGCGAGGUGGAGCAAAUCUCAUAAAAUAUCUCCCAGUUCGGAUUACACUCUGCAACUCGAGUGUAUGAAGUUGGAAUCGCUAGUAAUCGUAGAUCAGCAAUGCUACGGUGAAUACGUUCCCGGGUCUUGUACUCACCGCCCGUCACACCAUGGGAA
rnacentral:rRNA from 1 species